rnacentral:rRNA from 1 species
GUGGGGAAUUUUGGACAAUGGGCGCAAGCCUGAUCCAGCAAUGCCGCGUGCAGGAAGAAGGCCUUCGGGUUGUAAACUGCUUUUGUACGGAACGAAACGGUCCUGGUUAAUACCUGGGGCUAAUGACGGUACCGUAAGAAUAAGCACCGGCUAACUACGUGUCAGCAGCCGCGGUAAUACGUAGGGUGCAAGCGUUAAUCGGAAUUACUGGGCGUAAAGCGUGCGCAGGCGGUUUUGUAAGACAGGCGUGAAAUACCCGGGCUCAACCUGGGAAUGGCGCUUGUGACUGCAAGGCUGGAGUGCGGCAGAGGGGGAUGGAAUUCCGCGUGUAGCAGUGAAAUGCGUAGAUAUGCGGAGGAACACCGAUGGCGAAGGCAAUCCCCUGGGCCUGCACUGACGCUCAUGCACGAAAGCGUGGGGAGCAAACAGGAUUAGAAACCCCGGUAGUCC